rnacentral:lncRNA from 1 species
CAGCCCUGCCCGUCGUGCGGGAGCCCAGCAGAUGGAGCAGUGUUCCUGUGCAUGAGGCGGUGCGGGGCUGCAUCCAGAGCUGCACUGUGCAGUCGAGCCGAUCUCCCCCUGAGCAUCUGUGAAGCAUGGAGUAAAAGUGGUGGAACUGAGCUCUGCUGCUGUGAAAGCACAGCCCGGCCGGGUUAUGUGCUGAGGGCUCUGUCUGCCCGGUUAAGGGCCAUGAAUCUCAGCUGAUGUACUCAGGGAGAUUGACUGCUGAGCCACCCUCAUG